CGGGGCGUAGCGCAGCCUGGUAGCGCGCUUGGUUCGGGACCAAGAGGCCGCUGGUUCAAAUCCAGUCGCCCCGACCA
rnacentral:tRNA from 1 species